CCAGCACUAUCAGCAGCAGGAGCAGCAGCAACCCCUCAACACCAACAUUGUACCCAUCAGCUUUGAGCACCCACCCUGUAAACGUCUCUGCACGGCCCUGCCUGGACCCCACAGUUACAGCUGGAUACCGAGUGCCGCCUGGUGUCUGAGUGUGAGAGCUCCCCCUCAACCUAUUCCUACUUUAACGUAACAUCACUUUAACAUAACAUCACUGCUCAAAGUGGCUGCUAAAACCUCAAACCAAAGGAAAUGACCUGGGCUACCGGGUGGACAGUCCGCUGAUUAAUGAAACUAUCCUGUCGACUUAAAUUAAUUUUUAAAAAAAACAUUUUUAAAAGUAAAGCGAUAAUUGUCAUUAUUUCGGUAAAAUUUUCCCAUUUGUGUAAUAAUCAAAAAGGGCGGAGGGGGAAAAGAAAAAAAAACCCCUGCCCGGACGGUUUAAAUAUCCGGGUUUAAUUGCACGGUCAUAUUUGUAA